UGUGGGUUUGGAAACCCUAGAAACUCCCCGAGAACUCCGACUCCAACUCCAACUCCCGAUGCCUUCUUCAGGAAAGGAGUGAAAGUUCCCUAGAGCUUCCUCUAAAUCGCAAGAUAACGGCAAAUCCUCAGUCAGAUUCAAAUACAGAUUCCUUAAACGUUGCAGCUUAAAUAUCCUCGGCCUCGUGAGCCACCUCCCUGAAAUACAGAAAGCAUGGGUUCAAACGGGAUAUUUAAGCUGCAAAGUUUAGGAAUCUGUAUGUGUCGAGGGCAUUGAUUUCUGCAACAAUUUUAUUAAUGAACUACUCGAAAAUGUCAUGAUUUCAAAAAUUAGCUACAAACAGAGAGUUCGUGCGACACUUUCGUGACUCUCGCUCAAGCGAAUUCUUGAGGAUGAUGAGGACCCGAGAAUUGGCGCGACACUCGCUUGACAUUCUCUUGAAAAAAACUCUCGAGGUUUUGUGACAACUAGAGUAGUGCAUUCUGACUGUUAUCUAACAAUAUAUUUUAUAUGUAAAUCACUUUGCAUGGUGAUGUAGUGGAGGAAGGGAGCCAAUGUGAAAGGACUCGAUUAUGAUCUUACUCUUACUGAUGUAACCUUUUGCUUAUUCUUUUUCUUGGUGGGUUUAGUGGUUAUGUUUUGCAUGGUUCGUUGCAGGUGUUGGUGGUGUACAAGAAUCAUUACUGAGGACAUGUCAUCCUCUCGUUACUUAGCAGUGAAUUCUCUACAUUUGGUUGGUGUUUUAGGUUUGGUCUGCACAAGUCUAUUAUCAUAUACAAAAUUCUGGUAGUGAUUUGAGUGGAGGAAAAGAAUUUACAUAUCUGUCUCUGAUGAUUUACAAAUUGAGAUUCAUCGAUUCAAAAGAAACAGAUUUACUCGGGAGCUGCUUCAAAAUAUGCCUGUAGGGUGUUUGCACAUGCACUCGGGUACAGGGUAUGCAAUCACAUCUCGAUCUCUUCUGUUAGUUCUCAUCUCAGGCUGGCCCUGAGAUUUGCUGUGCAGCUUCCUCAUGAUGGUCCUGAAUUCUGUAUCAGAAAUGGAGGCGUCUUCGAAGAAAGGAAGCACGGCUCGCUUGUUCGGCUUUAUAUAUUUCCUAUGCCCCACAUAGGCACGGUGACCCUGUUAGUUAACAAUACAAACCACACACAAGUAUUAAUUAAAUUAUUAAAUUCAUCAUUUCUUAUAUGCAAGCAAAUAGAAUUUGAAAUCUUGACCACUUACUUGCAUGGCUCGGCCCAUAUUUCCACCAUGGGAAGGUACAAAGACAUCGCUGCUCAGCGAUACAAUGUAGUCAAUGGCAGCUAGAGCUGACGACUUGUUAAUGUACUGUGAGAGUUCUCCAUCUCGUGCCAACAUCUCCUUUGUUACAAGAUUUGGAAAUUCUGCAACAAGUGGCUGCAGAGCCCCAUUGCCCCCAAAUGGCUCUCCUCCGGCACUGUAAACCCGUGCACUUCCGGGCGCUCCUAGAGCCUUCAGGAGCCUGCAGUGCAUUUAGGGGGCAUAGUCCAGCAAUUCGCCGCUGGCUGGAGGUCAUGUUUAACCUUCCUGUUAGGUAUUCAGGAUGAGACUCCCGAAGCUUGGUGAUAAUGUCAUCAUAUGCUGCGCCUAAACCAGUGAGACAUCCAGUUCUGACCCACACAUCCUUCUCUAGCCGGAGAUGGAGUGCAAUGUAAGGGCCUUCAAUCCACAUUCUUCUUGCAAGCUGAUUACCGAGCUCCCUAAUUGGUGCUGCAUAUCUUAACGCAUGGAACGCUACCUGCAAUAUGAAGAUGAAAUGGGACAUGAUGGCUAUAUGAAUCUAUCUGAUGGUGAUUUAUUUGCAAUUGUACCUUACAUCGAAGCUUCUGCAGAUCGGGAGGAAGAUUCUUGGAGAGUUUAGAAUCUAACCCUUUUAACACAAGAACCCCAUCUUCAUUCAGCUACAUGAACCGGCAAUUUUAUUUGAGAAGCAUGAAGAGAAAAAUGAUUUGUCUCUCUGAGACCUUGGCAGCUAAAUAAUGACAAAUUAAUGCAGCCGACAGAGAGUUUCCAUCAACAAAGAAUUCUUACUUGGUUAAAGAAUCUGCUACGGAUCCAAAGUGGAGAAACAUCAUGAGGAAUCUUGGUUUCAGUGGACUGUCUUGACAUCAAAUGCGUGGAAGGAAGGGAUGAUACAACUCGCACAUCGGCUUGUAAAAUUCUCUUGAAAUGUUUCUCAUCAAAUAUAUCCGAAAAUUCACUGUGAUUAUCAGAAAAACAGUUGAUUGAUCAUAAAUUUCCUUCAAUUCGCAUGUUUAAAUGGAAAAA